AUUGAACGCUGGCGGAAUGCUUUACACAUGCAAGUCGAACGGUAGAGGGGGCAACCCCUCGAGAGUGGCGAACGGGUGAGUAAUAUAUCGGAACGUGCCCAGUCGUGGGGGAUAACGUAGCGAAAGUUACGCUAAUACCGCAUACGAUCUAAGGAUGAAAGCGGGGGAUCGCAAGACCUCGCGCGAUUGGAGCGGCCGAUAUCAGAUUAGGUAGUUGGUUGGGUAAAGGCUCACCAAGCCAACGAAUUGUCACUGGUCUGAGAGGACGAGAGCCGCACUGUAACUGAGACACGGGCCAGACUCCUACGGGAGGCAGAAGUAGUGAAUUUUGGAGAAUGGACGAAAGUCGUAUCCAGCCAUUACGCGUGAAGGAUGAAGGCACUCGGGUUGUAAACUGCUUUUGGACGGAACGAAAAGGUCUCUCUUAAUUCGGGGGGCUCAUGACGGUACCGUAAGAAUAAGCACCGGCUAACUACGUGCCAGCCGCCGCAGUAA
rnacentral:rRNA from 1 species